AUUGAACGCUGGCGGCAUGCCUAACACAUGCAAGUCGAACGGCAGCACGGGUGCUUGCGCCUGGUGGCGAGUGGCGAACGGGUGAGUAAUACAUCGGAACAUGUCCUGUCGUGGGGGAGAGCCCGGCGAAAGCCGGAUUAAUACCGCAUACGAUCUACGGAUGAAAGCGGGGGACCUUCGGGCCUCGCCCUAUAGGGUUGGCCGAUAGCUGAUUAGCUAGUUGGUGGGGUAAAGGCCUACCAAGGCGACGAUCAGUAGCUGGUCUGAGAGGACGACCAGCCACCCUGGGACUGAGACACGGCCCAGACUCCUACGGGAGGCAGCAGUGGGGAAUUUUGGACAAUGGGCGAAAGCCUGAUCCAGCAAUACCGCGUGUGUGAAGAAGGCCUUCGGGUUGUAAAGCGCUUUUGUCCGGAAAGAAAUCCUUGGCUCUAAUACAGUCGGGGGAUGACGGUACCGGAAGAAUAAGCACCGGCUAACUACGUG
rnacentral:rRNA from 1 species